rnacentral:rRNA from 1 species
UACAGAGGUCUCGAGCGUUAGGCGGAAUCACUGGGCUUAAAGCGUGUGUAGGCGGAUCGUUAAGUGCCUUGUGAAAUCCCACGGCUCAACCGUGGAACUGCUUGGCAUACUGGCGGUCUUGAGCCACUUAGGGGCUACCGGAACAAAUGGUGGAGCGGUGAAAUGCGUAGAUAUCAUUUGGAACGCCAAUGGUGAAAACAGGUAGCUGGGAGUGUGCUGACGCUGAGACACGAAAGCCAGGGGAGCGAACGGG